CCCUUAGAGUUUGAUCCUGGCUCAGGAUGAACGCUAGCUACAGGCUUAACACAUGCAAGUCGAGGGGAAACGACAUCGAAAGCUUGCUUUUGAUGGGUGUCGACCGGCGCACGGGUGAGUAACGCGUAUCCAACCUGCCCACCACUUGGGGAUAACCUUGCGAAAGUAAGACUAAUACCCAAUGAUAUCUCUAGAAGACAUCUGAAAGAGAUUAAAGAUUUAUCGGUGAUGGAUGGGGAUGCGUCUGAUUAGCUUGUUGGCGGGGUAACGGCCCACCAAGGCAACGAUCAGUAGGGGUUCUGAGAGGAGGGUCCCCCACAUUGGAACUGAGACACGGUCCAAACUCCUACGGGAGGCAGCAGUGAGGAAUAUUGGUCAAUGGACGAGAGUCUGAACCAGCCAAGUAGCGUGCAGGAAGACGGCCCUAUGGGUUGUAAACUGCUUUUAUAAGGGAAUAA
rnacentral:rRNA from 1 species